rnacentral:rRNA from 1 species
GCAGCCGCGGUAAUACGGAAGGUGCAAGCGUUACUCGGAAUCACUGGGCGUAAAGAGUGCGUAGGCGGGGUAAUAAGUCAGAUGUGAAAUCCUGUAGCUUAACUACAGAACUGCAUUUGAAACUGUUACUCUGGAGUGUGGGAGAGGUAGGUGGAAUUCUUGGUGUAGGGGUAAAAUCCGUAGAGAUCAAGAGGAAUACUCAUUGCGAAGGCGACCUGCUGGAACAUUACUGACGCUGAUGCACGAAAGCGUGGGGAG